GACGAACGCUGGCGGCGUGCUUAACACAUGCAAGUCGAACGGAAAGGCCCUGCUUUUGUGGGGUGCUUGUGUGGCGAACGGGUGUGUAACACGCGAGUAACCUGCCCUUGACUUUGUGAUAACUUCUGGAAACUGGGGCUAAUACCGGAUAGGAGCUCCUGCUGCAUGGUGGUGGAUGGAAAGUUACGGCGGUUGGGGAUGGUCUCGCGGCUUAUCAGCUUCUUUGUGGAGUAGUGGCUUUCCCAGGCUUCGACGGGUAGGCGGCCUGAGCGGGUGACCGGCGACACUGGGUCUGAGGUGCGGCCCAGGCUGCUACGGGAGGGAGCAGUGGGAAAGAUUGAAGGAUGGGCGGAAGCCGGGUGAAGAAGCGCCGCGUGCGGGAAGACGGCCUUCGGGGUGUAGACCGCUUGUGCCUGUAACGAAGCGUAAGUGGAGGGAAUGGGUAAAGAAGGACCCGCUAAAUACGUG
rnacentral:rRNA from 1 species